GAUGAACGCUGGCGGCGUGCCUAAUACAUGCAAGUCGAGCGAACAGACGAGGAGCUUGCUCCUCUGACGUUAGCGGCGGACGGGUGAGUAACACGUGGAUAACCUACCUAUAAGACUGGGAUAACUUCGGGAAACCGGAGCUAAUACCGGAUAAUAUAUUGAACCGCAUGGUUCAAUAGUGAAAGACGGUUUUGCUGUCACAUAGAUGGAUCCGCGCCGCAUUAGCUAGUUGGUAAGGUAACGGCUUACCAAGGCAACGAUGCGUAGCCGACCUGAGAGGGUGACCGGCCACACUGGAACUGAGACACGGUCCAGACUCCUACGGGAGGCAGCAGUAGGGAAUCUUCCGCAAUGGGCGAAAGCCUGACGGAGCAACGCCGCGUGAGUGAUGAAGGUCUUCGGAUCGUAAAACUCUGUUAUUAGGGAAGAACAAAUGUGUAAGUAACUAUGCACGUCUUGACGGUACCUAAUCAGAAAGCCACGGCUAACUACGUG
rnacentral:rRNA from 1 species